rnacentral:rRNA from 1 species
AUUGAACGCUGGCGGCAGGCCUAACACAUGCAAGUCGAGCGAGCGGCGGACGGGUGAGUAAUGUCUGGGAAACUGCCUGCUGGAGGGGGAUAACCACUGGAAACGGUAGCUAAUACCGCAUACCAUCUGAUGUGCCCCGAUGGGAUUAGCUAGUAGGUGGGGUAACGGCUCACCUAGGCGACGAUCCCUAGCUGGUCUGAGAGGAUGACCAGCAACACGGGAACUGAGACACGGUCACGACUCCUACGGUAGGCAGCAGUGGGGAAUAUUGCCCAAGGGGCGCAAGCCUGAUGCAGCCAUGCCGCGUGUGUAAAGAGGGCCUUCGGGUUGUAAAGCACUUUCAGCGGGGAGGCGUUACCCGCAGAAGAAGCACCGGCUAACUCCGUGCCAGCAGCCGCGGUAAUAC